UAGGGAAUAUUGGUAAUGUGCGAAAGCGCGAACCAGCAACGCCGCGUGCACGAUGAAGGCCUUCGGGUCGUAAAGUGCUUUUAGAGAGGAUGAGGAAGGACAGUACUUUCUGAAUAAGCCUCGGCUAACUACGUGCCAGCAGCCGCGGUAAAACGUAGGAGGCUAGCGUUAUCCGGAUUUACUGGGCGUAAAGCGCAUGCAGGUGGUUUUGUAAGUUGGAUGUGAAAGCUCCUGGCUUAACUGGGAGAGGUCGUUCAAAACUACAAGACUUGAGAGUGGUAGAGGAAAAUGGAAUUCCGGGUGUAGUGGUGAAAUGCGUAGAUAUCCGGAGGAACACCAGUGGCGAAAGCGGUUUUCUGGACCAAUUCUGACACUCAGAUGCGAAAGCUAAGGUAGCAAACG
rnacentral:rRNA from 1 species